ensembl:lincRNA
CCACGGCUUGGUAAACACUGUGAGACACCUCACUACCACCACCAGGCCGGGACACACGGUCUUAAGGUUUCAUCCCGCACCACUGUACAGAGGCCGGAUUUGGGCGACAAAUUGGGCGUUCAGUGUGCGGUUGACUUAGGGGCAGCCCCACGGGGGUCCCCUGGCUUGAUCCGACUCUCCAAGGUCAUUCCUCCAAGCCAGGCUCUUUUGAGAAGGCAGAGGGUUGGAAGAUUCCUUCAGAGGCCAGGUUGCCUGGGACUCUUGUCAAGAAGGCUGAGCUCCAGUCAUACGAGCCUAUGCCAGCCUGAAUUUUUCUGCUCCAAAGAAUUAUUUGGAGGAAGGAGAAAGCAUCGGGGACGUGGAGACACCUUGGCCAGCAUCUGGGUCUGUGAUCUCAGCUGGAAGACCAUGGGUUUUGGCUGGGUUCGAGGUUCGAGUUCCAGCGCAUGGGUUCAAGUCCCAACCUGCGGCUUUCAUUAGCUGGUGAGGUCUGGUUUGCAUUUGGUUUACUCAUUUCUGAUCAAAAUUGGAAAGUGCUUCUUUGAUUCCAUCACACAGCCUCAUAAGAAAAAUUUUGGCUGACUGGUCGACCUGUAGGUAAGGAAAAGAUAUUUUAACAUUCGAGUGGUCACGAUAUUCUUUAGAUGCUGGAGAGAACUGAUUGGGAUGAAACUCUUGAAAUUCCAAAACUGGCUCUUUUUGCAUGUGCAGUUAGAGAAAGCUGGCUUGAGAAAAUACCUAUAUAUAUAUAUAU